AAUAGAUACCCGGGUAGUCCACGCCGUAAACGAUGAGUGCUAAGUGUUGGGGGGUUUCCGCCCCUCAGUGCUGCAGCUAACGCAUUAAGCACUCCGCCUGGGGAGUACGGUCGCAAGACUGAAACUCAAAGGAAUUGACGGGGGCCCGCACAAGCGGUGGAGCAUGUGGUUUAAUUCGAAGCAACGCGAAGAACCUUACCAGGUCUUGACAUCCCGGUGACCACUAUGGAGACAUAGUUUCCCCUUCGGGGGCAACGGUGACAGGUGGUGCAUGGUUGUCGUCAGCUCGUGUCGUGAGAUGUUGGGUUAAGUCCCGCAACGAGCGCAACCCUUAUUCUUAGUUGCCAUCAUUUAGUUGGGCACUCUAAGGAGACUGCCGGUGAUAAACCGGAGGAAGGUGGGGAUGACGUCAAAUCAUCAUGCCCCUUAUGACCUGGGCUACACACGUGCUACAAUGGACGGUACAAACGGUUGCCAACCCGCGAGGGGGGAGCUAAUCCGAUAAAACCGUUCUCAGUUCGGAUUGUAGGCUGCAACUCGCCUACAUGAAGCC
rnacentral:rRNA from 1 species